ACAGGAUUUGUGCUCCAGGCCCUUGACCAGCUUUGUAGCCCUUCCCUGGACAUGCUCCAGGGUCUCAGUGUCCUUGUAGCGAGGGGCCCAAAGCUGAACACAGCACUUGAGGUGCAGCCUGGUCCCACUCGUCAUGGUGACAGUGAUUUUUGGUAAAGUGUCAACAGAGCAGUGAGGCUUGAUUUCAGAAGAGAAUUCUGUUUUCUUAGUGUGAAUUUAAAAAGAAUUUCUAGUUAUGUUUUUGAGAUGAUGGGAUAUUUUAGCAGAUGGAACUCUGAAUGGAAGAGUCUUGUUUUUCAACACAUCAACUGUGCUCUUCGAAGACAUCAAGAAUGCACAUUGUUAUUAAGUAUAUCAUGUUUGCAUGCCUCAAGUAUGUGUGUAGUUUGUUUCUUACUGCAUUCCUUCUAAAUAAACACAGCAGGAUCCAUGAUGUAGCAUUUCUUUGCAGAUACGGUCUUACCAGUUUGAUACAAAGGAAAUCCUCUGAGAGAGGUAGUUUUAGAAUUUCGUAUUCUUAAAUCUCAAAAAAAAAAAAAAAAAAAAAAAGUGCUCCUUUACGGGUUUACCUGAAUGCUAGGUAUAUGGUAAUCGAUCUAGUGAUUUCCCUCUGCUGAGACUGGCAGAUGUGAGAUAUUUCACAGCAUCCUGGAAGGAAAGUAUGUAAAAACAAAACCACACAAACAAAGAACAACAACAAGAAACAUGAAAAAAAAAAAAAAGACACAAAAAUAGCAAAUGUCUAAACACUUUAUUUGGUUUGCACCACAGAUUUAUCUGGUGCUGUGUGGAAAGUCUGUCCUCUGCAAAAUUUUUACUGAAAAUGAAAUAUAUUCCAGUUACAUCUUUCUCUUAUUCAUACUUAGUUCAAUGGAGGUGAUAAACUGGUUGUCUAGUGACAGUUGGCUUAGAGAGAAGUGCUUUGGUUUACUUGGAGUGUGAUUUCAAGGUUCUGGGUAUGUAAACCAUACUUUUGAAUGGCUGAAAUACUAAUGCAACAAACUUUGAAUUUCAGUAAAUUAACAUGAACAGAUAAUUCCAAAUGUAUGUUAGCACUUUGAGAAAGAAGUAAAUGUUACUGUGUUUUUUCAUAAUACUUAAUAAAACGUGUGCAGCAUGCUCAUCAAAAGUGGGAAGCUGUUGUUUCAGCAAGAUCUUUCAGAAGGCACCAGACUAAAAGAUAUCAGUCACAGUCUUGCCCUCCAGCUUAGGUAUUUUAACUGUCGAGGAUCUUCAGGUGCAUUGGUGGAUCUAAACAGUUUUUGCCUUUUAUUCCAGAAGACUUUAUUCUCUGAUGGCUCUUAAAGGUGAUCUCCGGAUACUUCCAUGACUGGUGUAAUAAAAUGGAUGCAAGGUUCAGAACAGAGCACAGAGUAGGAGGCUAAUGCAUAGGAAAUAAAGUGGUAAGUGAUUGACAGAAUUAAGAAAGCACCUGAUUUACUUGUUUAUGUACAGUUUAACUAAGUGGAGGAACCAUAGUAUUUCCUCCUGUGCUACAAAAGAAAGCAUUUUUUUUUUUCAUAGAAAGUGUAUCCCAAGCUUUACAAAGUCAGUUACAUAGCAGAGACAUUUUUGCUCUAAUAUUUAGAUUUUUCAUUACUGCUAUUUGGAAUACCCUUAGAUUUUCAAAUCUAGAUUCAAAUCUUAAAUUUUCUUUUAUUUUAAAUUACUUACUGCUAUAGGAACAUGUAAAUUAUUAGCAUCCAAUUUAAAAUUCAUCAUGACGCUAAUUGAGAUCUGAAAAUGUAAUUCUGAAAGGACAGCUGUGACUGCACAGAUUUGUUACAUGAGUUCACUCAGGUUUUGGUUAUUAAUCAUCAGUUUGUUGAGAACACAAAGGCAGGUUUAACAAUGAGUGCUCAAGUCUGCGGAUGCCACAAAAUUUAAAUACCGAGGAGCCACUUAAACAGAGUAGGAUGAAUUAUUUAGUAGGGAGCUGUGAAAAAUCUGCAUUUUACUGUGGCCUAAAGUAGAACAAUGUCUCUAGGAGCAGAAGCUUGAGGUCAUACUUACCAAAUAGACCACUGUGUUGUAGGGAAUGCUGACUUUGAAGAGUGCCUGGAGGUGGGGUGCGUGCUUAGCUGAACUUGAAUUGUCAGCAUGCCUUGUGGCCAAACAGACCAGUGAGAUUUUCAGGUCUAGAAAUGGGAAUGUUGACAGGGAGGUAAUGCUGCUGUCUGUAUUUCACUUUGAUACAACCUUUUCCAAGAAUGCUGUGCCUAACUUUUCCAGUAAUACUGGAAAGUUGGACAGAAAAGAGUUGUAAGAGGAAUAAAAAGAUUAAAAAGGUAAUGUCACGGGAGUCUUGGUAAAUAGAAUCUGCUUAAGUUUAAUGAUAGGAAAGUUAGCCUAGAAGAAAAUUAUUGAAGCAAAAACUUGUUAAUAAAAUAAAGGUCUCUUCAGUCUAGCAGAGAAGGAGUGAUCGAGUGAUUGUAAAUACAGCUAGACACAUUGCAAGAAGUAAAGGCAGUUAACAGAUUGGUAAAGGUUUCUCUAGUCUGGAAGUACUAGAUGGUUUUCUGAACAGAUGUGAUUUGAUAGAGGAGAAAUUCAGGCGAGCCAGAUCCAUGUUAUGCAAGAGGUCAAGCUAAAUAAUCACAGCAGUCCUUUUUGGCUGCCCCAGGAGUAACUUACAUGCUAACAGAAGUAUGAACAAUAUUUCACAGAGGCCUGCCUGAGCGUUAAAGAUUGCAAACUCAUUUCAGUUCUGCUCUACUGUUACCAGUACAAAGAACAAGCUGUGCUCUAAAUGGGCUACUGGAUAUGUUUAGCCUUGUUCUUUCUGCCACUAGAGAAUUGCAAAUGGUCUACUAAUGCACAUCCUGACUUGACUCAUGGCUAUUAGGAUAUGGCUCAUUAGUUUUAAAUUUCAUUAUACAAUAUGUGUUGUGAUGGUUUGUGUAAUGCAUACUUUCAUUAUGAAAAUUAUGUGAACGUAAGUAGUAGGGAAUUGCCUAUGAAAAUGUCAGCUGUAUUGAAUGUAGCUAUUGAUUAUUUGUUUUUCUCAGCUUUUAAAAAUUAGACGUCUCUUAGAGAUUAUUAGAUGCUUUUGGACCCCUUCUUUCUAUUCUUGUUUACCUGGCAUUUCUCUGUGCUUUAGUGAGCAAUUUGUGAUCCAACAGCCAUUUUCAAUUCAUUUUCAGCUCACGAUAAGAUCUAUUUAAGACAAAUUGAAACAUCCAGUGUUUCCUUUUUAUAGUUCAACUUGACCUUUUGUAUAGCAACCAGAGAUGUUCCAUAAAGCUUAGCAGAGGUAGUAUGUGCAAAAGGGUUCUUUUCUAGAAAUGUUUUGAGAAAAAUGCUCAUAUUUUCUUACAUUUGAAACUAAUCCACUAAAUUAUAUCUAAAUAAAGUAGGCAUUAAGUGGGCUUUUAAAAUUAUUUAUUUAUUUAUUUAUUGCUAAAUGCAUGUGCAAUCUGUUUCUGUUUAAAAUGCUAAUAAAUGCAUACCAUCUCCUAAUGAAAGUUGUGCUCCCUGCAUAAUUAAUUAGCAUUGUAUACAGAUGAGGAAGGGAAAUCCAUAUUCACAGACAUUUUCAUCCAGAAUGGUUAGUAAAUGAAUAGUGUAGAUUUUGAAGGGUCAUAUACGAGUACCUAAUUUCUGUAUAAACGAUAUUUAGCAGGUAAAAAUUUAGCUAAGUUUACCUGGAGUCGUGGUUAUAUACAGUUUUAACCACAAGAUGGCAUUCCUAACAGAAAUUUGCUAGACAGUUUUCUGCAGUUUUUGAAGGCUAUCAAAUUAAAGGCUGUCAUAAGCACUUGUGAUGUUAUACAAGCCUUUUAUGUUUUCAUUUUUUAGAAAACCUAAUUAAUAGAAAUUUGACUAAAACUCUAUUGUAAGAAACCUUCGUGUUCAUUGAUAAGUGGGAUAUAUAGAAUUAUAAAUGUAUGAUGGUUCCAGGUCAAAGAAACACAUUAAUUCACAGCAUUGUAUACUGUUAAAGACUUUUCAACUGUAAAUCUUGAAUCAAUUUUGAUUUAAUACAAGCAAAUAAACUCAAUUCUUUAAUAUUUAAAUCAAGAGCACAAGUAAUGCCAAUAUCUUACAUGCAAACCCAAUUUCUUUGGGCUUUAGAAUAUGAUGUAGGAUAUGGGGCUUGUAUUGAGUUUUGGGAUAAGAAAGAGCAGAUAACUGUAUUCGAAGAAAACCACAGUAUAAAUACUGUGUCCUGCUGUGCAGGGGAGGAUUAUUCAUAGCUUAAUGUUGAAAUGACCAACCAAUGUAUUUUCAAAUACUCAUCAUUCAGACUUGAUAACAGAGCCCACUGGCAGCUCUGCUUUCUUUCAGGCUUUGCCUUUUUUAGUUUAUUAUUAUCUUUGCGUGCUAAAAGCCAAUACUCUGUUUUUCUUUUUCCUUAAAUUAAAUGCAAGCAUGAACAGAGCAAAAUACAACCUACUAAACCAAUACAAAUACACCAGGGACAUGCUUAUUAUACUUACAUUUCUUUUUCUGUGGUUAAAGUCCUCAUUUUACCUUGCUUAUUUUUGCUGACUCUGUAAGAUCAGACGUGAGCUAAGUAAUCAUUUAUAUUUCCAUUCUAGCUAGUGCCCUAGUUGCUUUGGUUUGGAAAAAAGACAUUACCUGAAGUUCAUACUUAAACUGGAAUCGAAUGAAGUUUGGGUAAUUUUUUUAUCAAGUCUAUUUCAAGUCAACAGAGAGAGCUAUAAUAGACUAAAUUUCUUUGUCUUGGUAGUUUUAGAUUUGUGGUACAGAAACUUUUGUGGCCAUAGAAUAUAUUCUCUAAUGCUUGUGUACAUUUCCUACUAAUCCUUCUGCUCCAUGUGCCACUCCUGCUGAUGCAUCAGCCCCUCUGGUUUUGGCUCCUGUUGUUUACCACAGCUGAGUGGACAGAGAAGUGGCUGCCUCCGUUCCUGACACUAAUGACAAUCUUCGCCGAGUGAGCGGGUACUGCUUUGACAUUCAGCAGCUGUUCUUUUCCUUAACAUGCUGUUAUACCUGUAUCAUCUUUCCGAGGUGGCUGUGCAAAACAAAAUAUGAAAUACUGUCUGCUGAAUACAAUUGUCAGAACAAAAAACAAAUGUGUUCUUGUAGUUAUCAGGUUGGUAGAAACUACCUACCGGUAGGACAUGGCACAAGGACUGCAGAGGCAGACCUUGUGAGUUAAUAGUAUCUGGAGCUGACUACCAGUAAAUUUUUAAGGUCUGAACGUUUCCUACAUGCUGCAAAUUUUCAAGAAGUAUGAUGAAAUGGAAAUGACUAUUUCAACGAUGUGGAAAAGGCACUAGGAAGAAACUUAUACAUAAUAAUUAUGAAAUCAAUGUUGAUAAGAAAGUAAAUGAUUUGUAAUACUGAUUUGUUGCCGUUACUUUUCAAGUUAAAUUACACACAGAAUUUUCUUUUUUUGUAAUUUGGCAUGGCACUAGGUGAUUAGAUGUGGACAGGUUCCCACAGAGAAGAGCAAGAAGCAUGUCCUACAGAGGAGGUUUUUAAAAAGGAAAGCCCCCAAUACUAAGGAAAGCAACAUCCUCUGCUCUCAAAGGCUGAUGGUUGGCACGUGGAAAGGACUUAUCCUGGAGAACAGUCAGUAAGCAGUACACACAACUUAACAGGCGAAAUGAGUUAAUCAAGGCAAAAGCACAGUUUAGGGUCCCCAGAAAUGCUGUAAUGAACAGGAUGUGAUGGACACAAACAGUGGAAAUCAGUGAACUCAGCCAGUGCUCGUGCUGCUUCUGGGACAUCUUAUGAUGUCAGAUCAGAUGGGUAUGUACUCCUGCUCCCAGAAAACGGGAAAUAAUGAAACCAAACUUGUGCUUUUGCCUGAGGAUCUCUCAGUUAGGUGACAGCCACAGAGAGAUCAUAUAACCAAGCCCUUGCAUAUAAUGCUGUCAGAAAAAAAUGGCCAUAAUGGCUGCUGUCAAAUAGUAGGACUAAUAUUUCAUAAAGGAUCUGCAAAUUGCUUUGCUGGUACAAAGCACGUCAGGGGCUAAUUUAAUGCAGCUUAUUGUUUGUGAGAGGUUGAUUAUGAAUGUUUGGAUUGCAUCUUAUAUAACUGCUGCUGGAUAAGCAUUGCUAUGAAUAAGUGUGAACUGGGAAAGAAAAAUGUGAUAUUGGGAAUAGUAACCACAAGCAUUAUUGCUUCCCGUAUGUAACAAACAUGCCUAGGGCAAGCAAGCACAAUUACCGAUAGAAGCUGUGUUUGUUCAUGCAAGUGAUUUUAUUGUUCUGAGUGAUUUAUCACUCUGGGUUACGUUUUUGAUGAAAGAUUUCUCUGGAAUAAUCGUACUGCUAAUGAAAUCUUCAGUAAGUGACCAGGAUUGCCUACUGGAAGGAAGUUGGGUUUAUGAAGUUCUUCCAUGAGGUUUUUAAGAAGGCAGGGUGCAAAGGGUCACGGUGCAACACGAUUUGCUUUCACAAGCUGGUAACAUCAUGUCUUCCACUCUCUUUUUGACAUCCUCAGUGUUGGAAAUCUAGAAGUAUGUGUUUUUGAAAGUAGUCAGUUACUGUCAUAUAAUCCCAAACUAUGCUUUGUGCAAGCACUCACACCAUUGUAUUUUAGCACUAGUAUCAAAGCACUAUGUUGGAGUCUCUGAAUUUACACUGGGUGCUGAAGAUACGACUACUGAAAACAGAAAGGCAAUCCUCAUGUUCCCGUAUGAAAAGCAAAGAGAUGUUACAUUUUUGAGCUGUUACAACUACUUUUCAAAUCUGGAUUGCAGGAUGUGUGCAGCACCUGAAUCACCAGCACCUCUGUUCCUCGGGCCCCUUGGUUGCUGGUGGUAAAGCUCCUACUGAUUUCUUUAUGUUGUGAAAAGAGAUGGUUGUAAGCACUGGUCCCUUCCCUCUCUACAGCACCUGAAUAGAAAACAAGCACAAUUAUCUGCUGUAUUACACUGGCAGUGGAAUUACCUUACUAAAGAUGUCAUACACGGUCAACCUCUUUUGCAAACGCAGAGUGGCAAAACUGAGCCAGAAGAUCCUGAGUGCCAAGUCAACUUUCCUGCUCUGCACAGAACCGCUGUGAAAGCUAGAUGGAAACUACUUCACAAACUACUAAGAUCUCUCUAGUGCCCGGCAUCAUAAAUUGUUACUCAUUUCCGCAAGGCACAGCUGACAGCUGACAGCGGGAAAUGAAGAAAUAAAAACUACUUUUUUUUUUUUUUUAUUCCAUCCAAAAUGAAAUUUGCCUUCUGUGAGCACUUAGCUUGUUGUGCCAAGCUUAGGAGGUGAAGAGUGGGUCUGCUACCUCCUCGUGGGGGCUGGUUCUUGGUAAUUUUCAGUCGGUUCAGGGGCAGCAGAAGCCACAUCUCUAGUGAUGAGUUUUUGUUCCUUGUAUUAAUUGCAUGAUCUGCUUCACUGAUCAAAUUGUGUAUAAAUGGAACAGCCUAAAAGUAAUUGUACAGCUGAGAAGCUGACAAGUUAUUGUGCCUUAUGGCUACUGCAGCCAUGUGGUAAGGACCAACAAGGCAAAAAUUGGUAUCUUUAACCUCUUGUAUCCCCUAACUUUCCCCUAUGAACUGCCUGUCACCUUAAUUUGUCAUUUUGAUCAAUUUAUGAAAGCAACUUUUUUAUGUGGUGGCCUCCAAUUUCCCAGAGACAACUGCCCAGUCCAUCCCAUGUUCCUGAUUUUCCUGCUGUUGGUGCUGUAUUUCCUUUCCUUCCCCCCUCAAUUUUCACAUCUGAUGUUGGUAGUGAUGGUGUGGUUUGUAGGUCUGUUUUUCCAGGGUAGGGAGAUGAAUAUGGAGAAGAAAUAAGCCACAUAACAGCAAUGUUUGGAGUGUCAUUGAGACCGCCUUGAUAAUUUUUUUUUUGCUUGCAAAGCAGAUGUCUGUAACACACUCAGACUCUUCACCAUCGCAUAUUAUCAUGAAGCCAUUUUAGCAUAAUCAUUUUUAAUUUAUGUAUUUCCUCUCCACAGAAGAAUUUAAAAUUAGUCUUUGUAGAGUAAAUUUAGCUCUCUCUUACAACUUAAAAUACCAGAAUAGUAUUGUUUAAAAAGCAAACAAACACAAAUAUAUGUCUUGCAAUGGGAAUUUUGUGGUUAAUACAAUAAAGUUUCUUUCAGGCUGCUUGCUUGGACUGCAAGUCAAGAGUUUUAUUUCCCUUCUGUUAUCAGGUAUCCCUUGAAAUGUUCACACCUAAGUUCUGAGAACUGCAUUGUUGUUAACUCUGCUUUUGAUGGCUAUCAGCAGGAUUUUACCACUUCUGAACAGAAGGAAAGGUGCACGUACGCAACAAUUUUCAGCGAAAAGGAAAACCGGAAGACAUUACUGUGUUACCGUAACUUGACCCAAGAGCAGAAGAGGCAAAUAUGCGUGAGUGCACUGAUAUUUGAUAAACUGGUAUCUUUCUCAGAAAGCUUGAAAGUGGUAAUUUUUGCAGCUCUUCCUUUUGUUCAGAUUGAUUAGGGUAUGCUUUAUUCUUUUCCUGCUUUCCUCCUCCCCAAAUUUGUAAGUAAAUGACACAAAAGAGAAGUCUGAUUUAAAAUCAGGCUUCAAUAUAUUGAAGGUAAGUAAGUGGGGAAAGCAGCAAAAAUCAGAUAUAGUGAAUAGGAAGAAGCUGGACACAGUUCAACCAAGUACUUGUGAAUAAAAGCCCAAGAUUGGAAGUCUGACCCCUUGAACAACUCAUUUAAACAGGGCCAUGGUGAUAACACAGGCCACCUCCAGCUUUAAAAUCACACUAAAGAAGUGGACCUACAGUUUUCUUGAGAGACUUGUGUAAAUUCCUGCUGUGACUAAGCCAGAUACCAGGGAAACAGCUUGCUUAUUUAUUUAUUUAUUUAUUUAUUUAUUUCCCCCCCACACUUUGGCAAUAAUUCUAAGAUAAAGAAAAAAGAAAUCUUUGAAAAAAAAAUAAUUAAACUCAGAAAUUGUUUUUUAAUAUGGGAUGAGCACUGGUACUUUAUCAGUCUGUUUAACUGGUGCUGUGUGACUUCUUCCUGAGUGUGGAUGUUCUCAGGUUGUCUUGUUCAGUUUGUUCUGUGUUUUGAGAAACAGAAAAUGUGAGAAAAUACAGAAAAUACGUAGGCACAAAAAAAAUGAAAGUAUACGUGUAUAGGUGAUACAUAUUUCAGUAUGCACAGAAUAUCAUGUCCAUUGUGAAUGUCAUUGUGUGUGAUGCAUCUCAGAAGCCGUGCCGAAGGAAGCGUGCAUCCCCGUGGGCACCAGGCUGCCGCGUCCGCGGGCUCAGGUGGGAUGAGGCAGUCGGCCCCAGGGACACCAUGCUUGGUGACAGGGCUCGAAACAGCAGCUGCACAAGUGACGAGAGCAUCACCACACAGGUCUGACACUCUCUGUGGCUCCCCUGCAUGCACCGUGCCCGAUUGCUUCUCAUUUUGGUUACCCCAGCGUGUGCAGCACUGCUCUGCUAGGCAGUGGCACCGUACAGCUCCCGGUGUUUGCCAGAGCCUCCUCGCUGUAUGACAGCUCUUGGAGUCAUCCAAACCCUGCCUCUGGCCUCCGCAGUGCCCUGCUGCAUGGGUAGAAGGGGCUGCAGCUUUGGUUCCUCACCUGCUUGACAUCUUAUGUGAACACUUGCUACCACCUAUUGAUUUUUAUGCACCUUGACAGACAUGUGUUGCUCAGAUAAGACAACCUGUGAGGACUUGUGCUGAUGUUCUUGGUUGUUUUGACAGCACUGAGAUACUUUCCUUAAGGAAUAUAAAAGCUGUGCUGCUAAUAAGAAGCAACAGAAACCACAUUGUGUGCUUUUCUCUCUCUCCCCUCCCUUUUCCACAUUUUUUCUGCACUGUUCCUCACCUCAUUUGCUCCUUCUUGAACUGUCUGAGUGAUGCUUCUCCAAUCAGCCCCUCAUCAAACCGAAGUGCCUCUUGGUGCCCUUCACCCCCCGCUCCCACUUCCCAUGGUCAAGUAACGUGGAUCCCAUCAGCUCACCUGCCCCAGGUGUCCCUUCUCAAACCAGCUGUACAACAACAGCCCACGAAUGCCAAGUGCAAGGCAUCAGUGCGACAUGAUGGGGAGAGGUCUCUGAAACUGCAACGUGUGAACCAGACUUAGGCAAAAGACUGGGGAAGACGUCCUGGGAACUGCCCUGCCAGCUCGAUUAAAUCUCUCAGGAGCCUGGAGAAGUGUGGCUUCGUGCAGAAGACAGAGACAAAGGCUUCCUAGUCCUGCUGUGAGCUCCUUCUCUGCAGCGGCUGCUGCUGCCCAGGCUCCUCUAAGCCAUUUGGUUUGUGUUUGGUGUAAGCUGAAGCCAGAGGAUUGUUGCACGGUCAUACUAGUGUUUAUUAUUCUGUGUUUGCUGAGCAGGUAGGCAAAAGGCAUGUUUUGAAGGAAGGGCCUUGUAGCAAUCUGGCAACUGGAAAACAAAUGAACCUCUUCUGCAGCCCACUGCGUGACACCCUGCUGUCCUUAGCUGCCUCCUCUGAACUUGGAUUUGCUAAAUUCCCAGCCGUGUCUCGGCUUGGGGAACACAUUAUGAAGCACAAUGGAGAGCAGGUGGUCCUGUGCAACCCUGUUUGUGUUCAGCCUGGUCCAAGAGAUUGGCUUGGGGGGUGGCAGAGAUCUGCGGGCAUACACACAAUCCAUCACCGGUGCUUCUGACGGACGGCGAGGAGCUGCUCCAGCUGCUGCUCGGCUUCAGAUGGGCUUUGAAAUAUAGGCGGGUUGAAGGACAUAUGAGUUUUUCUUUCACGAUAACAAAAAUCAGCAUUUUGUUCUCCUAUCUGUACAGUUAAGGCAAUUUCCUACAAGCGGUGAUGAUUCCAGAGCAGUUUCUGCCUUGUGAUUGAUACAUAAAUGAGGUGAUUAUUUUUGGCAAUGCUGUGAUUUUAUUAUUAUAACAGAGAAAAUCGCAGCUAAUUCUCUGUUUGCUGAGGUUUUUAAUGCAUCCUCUGCACUAAAACACCUUGAGUCACCAGACAAAGGGGAAAUAACACAUUGCUGUGAGACAAAACCAGUGGUCCCCACUGGAGUAGACCAUCCAGAGAUCUGCCUCUUGCUCUCAGUAGCAGCCCUUAUGCAACAAAUAAAUAAAUAAAUAAAAUAAAAUAAAAAUAGCUCACAGGCUAUGAUGGAAGAUGCAGCAGAGAUGCACUCUCUGUGUUUGCCAGGCACUUUUAGAGAAAACUGUGAAGAUUUACUCCUAAUUGAUCAAAGCUUUUGCAAACCUGUAAAUGCCAAGGCUGACUUGGAGGAUGUGGUCCUGGAGAGGCCAGAUGCUGCCCAUAGUGGCUGUUGCAGCCUCAGAAAUAGGGUUGCCCCCCUCCAAAGCAUCACCUGCACAGGAUCUGGGGUCUCACAUGGCUGCUGCACUGUGCGUGGGGCUGAGCCCUGCUCCCCUGCACUGCCCUGUCCCAUCCUGUCCCCCUUGUCAUGGUACUGUUGCCUCUCCCUGUGGUGCACAGUUUUGCCUACACUGCCGAGAGCCCUUGAGCCAGCCUGGGUAUUUAGGGAAGAAAAUAGCAGAAAACAGGUAAUAGAUAAGGCAAUAUUUUAUUUUGUAAUAAAUAUUUGGAAUACAGUUUCCAAACUUCAUUUAAAAGUAUAUUGCAAGGAGAAUCUGAACGUCCCUUGUAAAUAAUAAAGAUGAUGUUUUCCAUUGGAAAUAAAAUCUGUAGCUUCUUUGAAGUUCGUUUCUUUAAGCAUGAUACGAAUUAUUCAUUUCUUGCCCCAUUGCCUGACCACCUGGGUUACUCUGUAGCAUCAGCGUCUGCAUCUGUACAAUGGGAGUAGCACUACUGUGCAUCUUUGGAGAAGAAACUGGGGUUUCAGAGUAAAGGGGUGAUUUAAAUGCUGGAUUUUACUUCACGUGAUAGAUCUGCAAUCUGAUUAAAGUGAGUUGUGAGACUACCAUGGAACGCAGUGGAGCAAUAUUGGAUUAUUGCAAAAUGCAGACUAGAAAUUAAUUACAUAUUUAUUACCUUUAAAAUAAUUAUCUAUGACAUUCCCUGUUAACCCUUUCAUUGUUGUCUCACACAGGCCAAAAGCCAGAUACCCAACAAGUGACUCCGCAUAAAUUUGGACACGGACAGGACAUGCUCAUCUUUCUUUUCAAAGCAAUUAAAAUUCUCAUUCACUCUUUCCAUCUCUCAUUCUUGCCACAUGUAAUGAAGCAGAAAGACAACAAGGGACACGGUCACUGGGGAUGCUUGUCAAGUCUGUGACAAGCCGCAGAAGUUCCCUAUUAAUAUCACUUGUGAAAACUUCCACAAAGAAAUGCUCCGGUUCCAAGGUCAAGUAUUCAGCUGUGAGGAAAUAACCGUGUCAUAACUUCCCCGGCCACCUCAGCUCAGUUUCACCAUAUAUAGCCUUUAUAAUAUUUAAUUACGUUAUCACAGAUAAUAACCUCUUCAAGGUCUAACCGAUACUAUCAGAGGAGUUUAUCCUCAAUAUGAACAAUUUCAACCAGAAAUGUAUCAAUUUAUGUCUCAAAACUCUAAGAAAAUUAAAAUAAGGUAUUGCAUUUAUAAACUUGA